GCUGCUUGGUAGAGUCAUGGAAUCGGUUAAAGUUGCUCUUGGAAUAGCAUUCCAAACGGCAACUGGGUGCUUCGUAUGUUGUGGCCACUGCGCCCCUUACUAGUAUCGUUACUAAGUGGUGACAUACUAUUCCAACAAACAAAACCAAAACUAGGAAAGAGUAACUGAAGUAGCGACGCCCUGCCGCCACUCUUCGGCACACACUUCGACAGGAGGCGUAAUGUUCAUUAUGGAUGGUUACGAAAUACACAUCUUGUGAAAAACAUUGUAUCCGCCAAGCUGAUAGUACUUCAACCUGAUCCAUCUUCCUUAAUAGGUCGAAGAGGUAUCUACGCUUCAUUACGCAUUGCAAGGCAGUCAUCCACAACCAGCGUAAACAUGGUUGCACGGACCUCGUUGCGUGCUACGGAAUUGAUGACUUCACGACAACCACGCUUUGGCAGGAUCCGUUGAACUUCAGACAAUACAGUGACAAGAGCAGACAGGAGAAGAGUCAGCAAAGAUAUAAGCUCUUAACGAUGGCGAUGGUGGCAGGUGCUAGUCUCGUUUCCGGAAAUUUGUUGUAGUCAACGGGUUUCUCAAGAUGUCUUUCGCAAUGUUAUUUAAGAUCGUUGCAAAUGCCAUUCACGGCACAAAAUAUUUUUCACGAGUACGACGAUGUUGCCUGCAUUCAUCGUGGAAAGUAAAUGAAGGCUAAGAGAUGUUCAUAUUGUGACACAAAUUGUCUAGUGCCGGACAAAAAACAGACCAAAAAAUAGAAAAAAAAUGUGUACUAAUUCAUUGAAGGGUUUAUGAAGUUAACGAAAUAUUCAAAAUCUAAAAUUUGAGAGCAAAUGACAAUAUGAAGUGCAACAGAUCAAAUAAAAAUAAAAAUAGCAUACACAAAACAUUUGGUGGUACUUUUGAAGACAUGUACUGUUGGUAGAGG